CCUCGCCGAACUCCCCUAAGCUCCUACCUCGCGACACCGCCGACUUUUCCCUUCUCUCUCGGUUCCGGCUGCCCCAUCGCCGGACCUCUUCCCUUCUGAGCCAACGCCGAACCUCUCCUCUUCCGUCUCUGCCAGAGCGCCACCGGUUGUCCUCCUCACGCGAGUCACAGUUGUCGACCCCUCUCCGAUUCCCAUUGCCGGAGUUGCGACCACCCUCUCCUCCUGGCGUCUUCGUAAGGUACAAUGCAAUCGACCCGAUUUGGUCGGUGUUGCUCAUCCCGGUGUCAGCCGAACCCUAGGUUGGAGGUGAACGACUCUCCAACCGGUUGCUUCUUCUCCGCUGAGCCACAGCCGCGUGGUCUCUUCUCCUCGUGCGAGCACCAGAGACUUCCUGCCGUGCCCUAAUUGAUCCGGACUUUGAUUUAGGGCGAGCAGCACAACGUGGAUUUUAUUCUGAUACGAUCGACAAGUAAAG